GACGCUGCAACAGGAUCCUUCUGCACACGUUUAUUGGGAGAGCUUGAUUGUAGAGGCGAAAGACCAGAUCACACCUUGCGAUGGAGAACAUAAAGCCUUAUGUGGCUAUGAUAUAUGCAGAGAGAUAUACCAUCUGGCCUGGUAGCAGAGCAAAUGAUGCUAUUGAAAGUAAGAGGAAGAGAAGGAGGAGGAGGAAGAAGGAGGGAUGGAAAGGGUAGGGGAGAAAAAGAGAGAUACAAGACCUAUGAGGAAGCAAGAAGGAAAAUUUUAAUCAAUUACUUUUCUUUUGUAAUUUUAAUGCCUGCUUUUGUGUAUAACUGAGCCUCAGAUACAAUAACAAGUCCUCGUGUGGUGCUUACCUGAUUUGAAGACUGACCGUUCCUCAGAUAGUUUGGCCCUAAUUGCCAAUUGCUGCUUUGAUUUACCUGGAUAUUUGAUAAGGUAUAUUUCUGUGUUUCUUCAGAAGAGGGUCUUGAGGCAUCUUUUGCUUACUGUGAUAAUUGUUUUUAUGUAACCACUCAGAGAAUUAGAGCCAAAUUAAUAAGGAAGCUAAACAAAAUAACACUCUUUAACACACACACGCACACACACACACACACACACACAUGCCCUUUCUCCCCCACCUCCCCAGCCUUGAGCUCUCUGGAGAGAAGGCAGAUUUAUGCAGCAAGGCAUAAUUUUGCAACAUCUAGUUUGGUGUCAUCACAGGACACCCCCUUUCUCUCAUUCAUGUGCGUUUGAUUGGACAGCAUAACUUAGUUGUGAAUGACCCCCCUCCAUGUGCUUUGUAGCAAAUGUGGGGGUCUGCCAAGUCAAGUCUGUGUGCUCUUGGCAAGCUAGGGGCAACACCACUGGCUAAGUGACACAUCCCGCAGACAAGGAUCCUAAGGAGUCAUCGGUACUGUUUCCACAGAGGCACCCACGAUGCCAGGAUCCACAGCAAUGCAAGAAGCAGUUUCCAGCUUUCAGGAGUCGGUUUGUCAGGGUGGUCCCCUCUCAUCUUCUGCGCACGGACACAGGGUCUUCCUGAGCUCUGCAGAGAACACAGCUUCUCCCUGAAAGUGGGACUCAGGCAGAGAGUGAGCUCAUUCUGCAGACUGCCCAUUUGCAUGCACAGUGCAGCAGUCUUCAGAGAAGCAGCUCUUGGAGCCAUGGCAGAGCGCUCCUGUGUGGGGGUGCACAGUGUGCGUCUGUCUGUGUGUGUGUGUGUGUGUGUGUGUGUGUGUGCAUACUCAUGCAUACAUGCAAGAGCACGAGUGCAUAAUGUGUGCAUAUGUGUGUACAAUGUGAUUGUGUGUGCACAGUGAAUAUUCACAGCGUGCUUGCAUGUGUGUGUUCAUAGAGGGUGUGCAGUGUAUAUGCAUGUAGUGUGGUAUGUGUGUGUGUGUUGUAAGAAUAUUGCAUUUUGAGCUUUUUACCCACUUGGGAUGAAUGGGGUGAACUUUUUACCCACUUGGGGUUACCUGAUUAGGUUUAUGAAUUUGAGAUGCACGUGAUCUAGUUGGAGAGUUAAGAAUCAACGUAGAAAAUAAGGACCAACAGAACAGUUUAUGUCUAUAGAUAACUAGUAUAUACAGCAGGGAAGAAGGGAAUUCCUGUGUGGUCAUGUAGUCAGGAAACCUCUUCAAAGAGUAGAAAAUGGCAGUUAUUUAACAUCUGCACUCUUUGUAACUGGAUUGAAAUUUGGGUUAUGAGUGAGGUGCCCUGUAGAGCUGCGGAUGCUUUCUGUUAAUUGUUUCUGGGGGGAAAAGGUCUUCUGCCCCACCCUUCCCUUUCUUUCUCCUUCUAAAAUGACAUAUUUCUGUGUUGUCAUCAUCUGUCUCCUUCUUUCUGUCUCUCUUUCUCUCUUGGUCUCUCUCUGUCUCUCUUUCUGUCUCUGUCACUCUGUCUCUGUCAAUCUCUCUCUCCUUCCCUCCCUCUUCCUGUCUGUCUCCUUUCCUCGCCCUCUCCUUUGCCCUCUCCCUCAUUCUCACCCUCACCCUCUCCCAACUUUUUUGAGACAGCAUCUCAUUCUAUCUCAGACUCAUUUUGAACUCACUAUGUAGUGCAGACUGGACUCAAACUCAUGACAAUCCUUGGCCUUGAUUUGCCUUAAUCACAGGUGUGUCACCAGGUGGGCAUGGGGUCUGGAUGCAGGUCUUCACACUGCUGGCCCCUGAGACCCUCCCUAAGCUAGCCGGCCUCCCAGCCAUGAUCAGGCCAGCUACUAGCUUCCCCUGGCCACGCCAGGUGGCUUCUGUUAAGGGCGCUCAUCUGGAAGACUCCCUUUAGGGGCCUUCAUGGUCUGCUCAUCUCAGAGAAGUAACUCUGCCUCCUCCCUUGGGCUUCUGUUCAAAUAUUCCCAUCCCUCUUCAACCUCUCUCCUGGCCAGGACCCUGGUCACCUGGCACUAUCUUCCUGUGCACCACCCACCAUACUAUCUGACAAAUGUCCAGCACCUAUUAGGUGCUCAGUGAAUGUUUUGAGUAUUUUCUGUUUUAUGGCACAGUAGCUUUCACUGUCCCAGAACACACUCUGUAGACCAGGCUGGCCUCAAACUCAGAGAUCCUGUCUCUGUUGGAAUUAAAGGCAUGUACCACCAUUUCCAGCUUGACUGUCCAUGAAUAACCAAAUUAAAGAUCCAGAGUUACUCAUCCAUGAAUAUGGAGUGUAAUUGUAACAGUCUUUGGUUCAAUUUAAAGACUUUAGCAUAAAUAAGGAUUAUAUUUUAUUAUAAAUGGGAAGUAAAGAAUAUACUCAUAGUAUUUGGUGCUGCCAAUGGAGUCUAUUCACAAUUUGCCUAAAAUAAACAAAAAACAAUAAAAGAUAAUGCUGUGAAUGCAGGUUUGGUUUGGAGGUGCACACUUACAAUCCCAGUGUAGAGGAGGUAGAGACAAGACAGCAAGUUCUAUGGUAACAGUUUCUAGAGAGUGAGGCUUUUCACACACACACACACACACACACACACACACACACACACGACGAUAAUGCUAUAAAUCAAAAGAUUCCUUUUCUUCUGAAAAUUCAAUGAAGGCCAGGGAGAUGACUCAGUGGAUAAAUAGCAAGAGGCUCAAAGACCUGAGUUCAGAUCCCCAGAACCUAGGUAAAAAGUCAGGCAGGUGUGGCAGCUGCCUGUCGUUCCAUCACUGGGGAGGUAGAGCAGGAAAUUCCCUGGGAAGCUGGCUAGCUGAACCAGCUGGAACCAGCCAACUAGAGUUCGUUCAGCUGAGACGUGCUUCAACAGAUAAAGUAGCGAGCAACCAGGAAAGACACUGAUGUCAACUUCAGGCCUCUACAUGAACAUGCACAUACAUGCACAUUUAGCCACACUCACACGUGUGCUCACUGAUAGGCAAACAUGUACAUGCAUGAUGAAUCACAGCCAACAAACCUCAUAUAUCUUACUUUUAAACUUACAAGUAUGACACUGAGACAUUGCUGUGUGGAGUGUAUUUGUGUAUGUUAACAGUGCCUCUCUCCUGUGGGAGAGGAUGUAUCCAGCCUGCUGCUGGGUUCCUCGGCCUUCUGUGUUUGUGGACUGCUGUUAGAGACACUUGGGACCAUACACACAGCCUUUGUGACAGAAAUCUUCCACUUCAGUGCAGUUCCCAAGGCUCACUCACACUGUCGUCUGACCCAGUACCUUAUCCUUUUACAACAGAACGUGGCUUGGUGUGUACACAGAGCUCGUCGAUUCACCUCGGCUCUGCAGCCAAUGUGAGAGCUAGGCUACCGGAGACAUUCGCAUGCAGGUAGCAGCUUCAGGUGUGAGUGUAGGAGUGAAAGUGUGUCUCACUCAGACUGUUGCUUAUAGCAGUAGCUCACUUUUAAAAAUCACUUUUUGGGGAGGAGUACAGAUUGAACACAUGCCAGGCAACCAGACCACAGUCAUUCGCCAACCACUCCAUCGUCAUGCAGUAACUACCCCACUGUCACGUGGCAAUCAGCCUGCCGUCAUGAGGCAACCAGCCCACCAGCAUGCACUUCCUCAGUCCUUUUUGUGUUUAUUUUCAUUUUUAAUUUCGAGGCUGCUACGCUGAGUGCUCAGGUUGGCCUUGAACUUGCUCUGUAUUAAGGUUUCGAAACAGGGUCUCCCUUUGCAGUCCAGCUUAGCCUUGAACUCUUGAAAGUCCUGGCUCAGCUUCUGAGGUGCUGUGGUAACAGUAUACCCUGACACCCCAAGCACUUACACUUUUAUUAAAUGAAUAUUGCAUGACACUCAACUGCAGAGUUCCUGGGAAAGGGACAUGCGUAUAAUAGACCACCUAGAAAAUUAAACAAAGCCUUCCUAAAUGUGGUGUGUACAUUUUUACAGGUGCAUGGUCACUGUCUAUAGUGUUGAUUCACAAUAAUUCCUUUCGGUUCCCUUCUGUUCCUUGACUGCACUCACCUGUAAUUCCUCCCCUCCCCCUCCCACUAACUCCUUCCCUUCCUCCUCCCCUCCCUCUCCCCCUCCCACUGGGCUCUUUCCUUAUCCCUUUCCCUCUCCCUCCCACUGAUCCCUCUCCUUCCCCCUCCCUCUGCUUUCUCUUACCCUCCCCUCCCCCACCCACUGACCCCUCUCCUUCCCCCUCCACUCCCCUCUCCCCCUUCCUCUGGCCCCUCUCCUUCCCCCUCCUUCCUUCUGCUUUCAUAUCAUGUCUCCAUACUUCAUUUUAUGUUUCUAUGUAAAAUCCAGGACCCACAAGUAAGAGAAAAUACAUGAUAUUUGUCUUUCUGGGCUUGGCUAAUCUUUUUUUAAUAAUUUGAUGCUGGCAAGAUGGCUCCAUGGGUAAAGGCGCUUGCUGAGAAAGCCGGCUGACCUGAGCUCAGUCCUGGAACCAUGUAGACCUGGGAGGAGAGAACUGACUCCACAUGUGUGCCACAACACUUGUGCCCUUGCCCAAACAAUAAUAAAGAAGUGAUUUAUUAAUUAACAAUUUAUCAUUAUUAUUAAAAUUAAAUUUUAAUUUUGAAUCGACAGUUUUAACCAUCAGUUCAAGAUAGCCUAUAGUCACUGGAAAGGAAUCUCAAUUUUGAAGGGUUGUUCAGAUCAGCUUGGCCUGUGGGCAUAUCUGUAGGGGGUUGUCCUGAUUGUUAAUAGAUGUAAGAGGACCUAGUCCACUGUGGGUGGCACCAUUCCCUGGGCAGAUGGUCCUGGGCUGUGAAAGGAAGCCAGCUAAGCAUCAUUCCUUCAUGGUUUCUGCUUUAGGACCCUGCUUGAAUUCCUUCUGUGACAUCUCUAAUGAUGGGCCGUAACCUGUGAGCGAAAAUAAACCCUUUCCUUCCCUAAGUUGCUUUUGGUCAUGGUGUUUAUCAGUAACAGAGAGGACCUAAGAACACAACGUGUUCCAGGCUGUGUUCCAGGCUGUUCAUCUAUCCAAAUAAAGCUACAUGGUGACCCCAGCUUCUAAUUUACUUCAUGCUGUGUUUAGGAAAAGUUAUCUCAGGAGACUUAGCCAGAUUUAUCUGCUACACCCCAGGGAGUGUCUUAUCAGCCAGUCAUCGAAUACUUUGGAAAGCUACCCAGGACAGGGAAGUCUCUAGAUCCUGUGAGGCAUCACCUGGCAACCAUAAACAAAACAGCCAGAGGAGAGCCUAUAGCCUCAAAGCAUGUCUACUAUUCAGUCAUUUUAAGUGUUGAUAGCUAGACAGUGGAGCAGUGAUCAAGGCAGUCACUCUCUUGCCGUGAGGACCUUGAGGAAAGCUCCUCUGUACCUUUCGUGGUCCGUCCUUGUGCCCAUCCCAGUUCCAGCUAAUCACUGUCUUUCUGAGGGUGUCAUAUUGUUCAUGUGUCUGGCAUCUUUCACUGAGCAUAACAUCUUUGGAGGCCACUUCAGGUUCUUGUAUAUGUUAUGAUUUUCUCAUAUUCUGGCUGAGUACUAUUCCAGUGUUUGGAAACACCAGUAUAUCUGAUAUUUUAAAUUUGGGCCAUUUCUUUUGCUUUCUCUUCUUCCGGCUAUUAUAACUAAGCUGACUAACAUCUGAGUACAGAGCUCCAUAGGAUGUGCUUCUUUUGGGUCGACACUUUGAAUGGGAUAACUGUAUCAUGGAAGCAGAAGUUAACCUUUAAAGAGACUACCAAGAUGGUUUCCAAGGAGCCCAUGUCACCAGUGCACCGGAUCCAACCGUUCACAUCUUUACCAGCACAUGGCUUUGGCAUUUGCGUUCAUUUUGGCUAUUGUGGUUUCAGUAACAUUCUCUAAUGACCAGGGCCACUGGAUAUUAUCCCCCCUCUCGUGUGUGUGUUGAAAGGCAUAUGUCACAGCAUGUGUGUAGAGGUCAGAAGAGAAUUUGUGGGAGUUGUUUUCCCUUUCUACCAAGUGGCUCAGGAUUUAACCCAGGUCAUCAGGCUGCGAGGUAAAGGCCUUUACCUGACAAGCCACUUUGCCAGUCCUGAGCUUGUGUGUCUUGAUACUGGUUUUUGUUAUUUUUAAAUUAUUUAUAGGUGUGCAUGUGUGCAUGAGGGGAUGUGCAUGUGUGUGCAGGCACCCUUGGAGGCCAGAGUGUGGGGUGCCGAGGAGCCUGAGUUACAGGUGGUUGACUGCAACCUGUCGCAGGUGCUGGGGACUGAACGUGGGUCCUCUGGAAAAGCAGCAGAUGCUCUGAGCUACUGUGCCACCUCUCCACGUCUUCUCAGUGUCUUUAAAAUGCUUUUUGGCUUUCUAUAUCUUGUGUGUGUGAAGAAUGGAUGUCCAAAUCUUAGUAGAUUUUGUCUUUUAUUGAAUUAGAAUAGUACUGUGUAUAUUAUUCAUAGGUGCAGAAAACCUAUGAAAUAUGUGCUUUAUUAUUUUUUUUGCUGUUUUGUCAAGAAAAUAUUCAAGUUCUUUAUAGUUUUAAAUUUAAAAAAUGAAGAACAUAUUCUUGUCCAAAUAAAAUGGUACAUGCUUCAGGGACAGUUUACAAUCAUGGAAGGGUGAGAAGAGACAUAAAGAGAAAAUUCAGAGAUUAAAAAAAGAGAAAUUCAGGGGACAGAGUGAUCUAAUAUUGCAGAAGGAAGAAUCUGACUAGGAAAGAUGGAGACAGAGAGGUAUGGACAGAACAGGAGCCUGAGAAGCAGAGCAGGAGGAAAAGGACAAAAGUUAAAGCUGGGGCUGGGAAACAUGAAGUUCCCCCAUGGUCCCUUGCUCUCCUUACACUGUUCACUGCAUGUGCAGCUCGCCUCAGCUGCUCUCCUCUCCUCAGCUGCUCUCCUUCUCUCAGCUGCUCUCCUCCUCUCAGCUGCUCUCCUCUCCUCAGCUGCUCUCCUUCUCUCAGCUGCUCUCCUCCUCUCAGCUGUCCUCUCCUCUGCUCAGCUGUCCUCUCCUUCCCUCAGCUGCUCUCCUCCUCUCGGCUGCUCUCCUCCCCUUAGCUGCUGUUCUCCUCCCAGUUGCUCUCCUCCUCUCAGCUGCUCUCCUCUCCUCAGCAAUCCUCCCCUCCCCUCUGUUGUCCUCUCCUCCCCUCAGCUGCUCUCCUCCUCUCAGCUGCUCUCUUCAGCUGUCCUCUUCUUCCCUCAACUGUCCUCUCCUCUCUUCACCUGCUCUCUUAUCUUCAGCUGUUCUCUCCUUACCUGCUCACUCCUCAGCUUCUCUUUCUCCUCAGCUGCUCUUUCUUCAGCUUCCCACUCCUUAGGACUAGCCUGCUUUGCAGAAGUCCCUCCUUCCCACCCACAUGCCAUUACUGUUCCCCACCAACACACAAAACAGCCGGUUGCAUUUGUUCUGUCUUUAGCACACAAAGACACAGCUGGUGAUGUUACUGGUGUGGGUUUGAAUCUUAGCUGUACCACUAUCCACUUAGCUGUGGCAGGGCAGACUUUGAUCUUUAAAAUGACAGCAGCUAUGACAUCUUCUAAAACAUCUCCAUAGAUUAAAGAGUUGAUGCCGAGAUUUUUAUUGGGCUUAGCACACAGUGCUUAGUCAUGAGCUGUCACAGAAGCUGUUGGGUGUUGGGGGAGGGCGGUUUUGACUAUGCCUUCCAUCUUUGGCUCUCUGCUCAUCUAGUCUGGAAGCUCAUCACCCUGCCUUAGAGACCCAUGACACAAACACAACUGUAUUUGCUCAUCUGCAAGGCAAAGUUGGGACUAAUAAUAAUGAGUAGUGGCAUUACCUGAGCUGUGAGCAUUUUAACCUCGUGCCGAAACACUGCGUGGCAGAAAAAGCUUCCUGGUUCCGGAACGCUGACAACUCAAGGCAAUUGGGUUUAGUAAAUACGACGGAGGUGGGUGAGCUGUGCCAUUCUCCCCUCAACCCCUCAGAACUCUGGCUGACACAGGACCCCUUCUGCCCGGCCCUUGUCUGUCCUUGCCUCAGCACGACGAGUGAAAGUUUACGUCUGUGUGAUUCACAGCUUUUGCUUUUUCCAGUUGUUGGCAAGGUUCCCUCACACUAAACUAAGUUUUGCUUUGAUCCUGGAUCAAUAUGGGGAAAUAAAUUCUCUCUCUCUCUGCUUUAAACCUGUAGCUGCUCAUUUCUGUGAAACGUGUUUAUGAACCUCUCUCCAUCUCCUCUCUAUAAUGCAACGUUUUCUGGUUUUUCCUGCAUUUCUCCAGAUACCCAUUGUCCUUGUGUCCUGACAUCUGCAGCCCCAGUGCAAGCCCCUUUCUUGAGAAGCCACUUAAAACGUGGCUCACAGAACGGUAUCCCUUUCCCUUCUGUGAGGUCCCAUUCAUUCCAGCUCUCAAUGGUGGUCUUGGCUUUUCAGCAACUACAGUACUGUGUCUGUGAAUUAUACUUGGGACGAUCAUACACAUGCCAUUCACACUCGGCCACUGGGGAAGGAGAAGGGGCAAGGUUUACCACCAGGCGUGGGCAGCGGAGCAAAGCAGUGACAUCUUAGGCUUACACUGGUGACAUCUUGGAUAUACAGGGAAGUAUGAUCGAUCACUAUAUUAGUUGUCUAUUGUUGAGAUACAAUACCCCAGACUCCAAACUUAUAAA